rnacentral:rRNA from 1 species
GACGAACGCUGGCGGCGUGCUUAACACAUGCAAGUCGAACGGACGACGAGAGAGCUUGCUCUCUUGAAGUUAGUGGCGAACGGGUGAGUAACGCGUAAUCAACCUGCCCUUCAGAGGGGGAUAACAACGGGAAACCGUUGCUAAUACCGCGUACGAUUCAUAGACGGCAUCGUUUGUGAAUGAAAGGUGGCCUCUAUUUAUAAGCUAUCGCUGAAGGAGGGGAUUGCGUCUGAUUAGCUAGUUGGAGGGGUAACGGCCCACCAAGGCAAUGAUCAGUAGCCGGUCUGAGAGGAUGAACGGCCACAUUGGGACUGAGACACGGCCCAAACUCCUACGGGAGGCAGCAGUGGGGAAUCUUCCGCAAUGGACGAAAGUCUGACGGAGCAACGCCGCGUGAGUGAUGAAGGUCUUCGGAUUGUAAAGCUCUGUUAAUCGGGACGAAAGAGUUCUGUGUGAAUAAUGCAGAAAAGUGACGUACCGGAAUAGAAGC